rnacentral:misc_RNA from 1 species
UGGUUCUGGCAUCGAUGAAGAACGCAGCGAAAUGCGAUAAGUAAUGUGAAUUGCAGAAUUCAGUGAAUCAUCGAAUCUUUGAACGCACAUUGCGCCCGCCAGUAUUCUGGCGGGCAUGCCUGUUCGAGCGUCAUUUCAACCCCUUAAGCCCUCGUUGCUUAGCGUUGGGAGCCUACAGCGAUGUAGCUCCUUAAAGUCAGUGGCGGGGUCGGCUCAGCACUCCAGACGUAGUAGUAGAAUUUCUCUUCCACCUCGCCUGCGGUUUGGACCGGUCCCCCGCCGUAAAACACCCCACUUUCUCAAGGUUGACCUCGGAUCAGGUAGGAAUACCCGCUGA